UCUAACAUGUACGCAAGUCAUUGGGACUGCAAACCUAAAGGCGUAAUGAAAGUAAAGAUCGACUCUGAUGUCGAUUGAGGGAGGAUGAUUCGUGUCACGAUACGGAUCCGCACUCCCGGGGCGUCUUGAACUCAUUGCGAGUUGAGGCGCACCCAGAGCGUACACGUUGGGACCCGAAAGAUGGUGAACUAUGCCUGGUCAGGACAAAGUCAGGGGAAACCCUGAUGGAGGUCCGUAGCGAUUCUGACGUGCAAAUCGAUCGUCGGAACUGGGUAUAGGGGCGAAAGACUAAUCGAACCAUCUAGUAGCUGGUUCCCUCCGAAGUUUCCCUCAGGAUAGCUGGCACUCGCUUUUUAAGCGAGUCUCAUCUGGUAAAGCGAAUGAUUAGAGGCCUUGGGGCCGAAACGACCUCAACCUAUUCUCAAACUUUAAAUGGGUGAGAUCUCUGGCUUGCUUAAAUUAUGAAGCCACGAGAUUUACGGAUCAGAGUGCCAAGUGGGCCAAUUU
rnacentral:rRNA from 1 species